AUCCAGUCGACGAGUCCCAAAUAGGACGAAACGCGCGUCCUGGAU
rnacentral:hammerhead_ribozyme from 1 species